GUGCCAGCAGCCGCGGUAAGACGAACCGUGCGAACGUUGUUCGGAAUCACUGGGCUUAAAGGGCGCGUAGGCGGACCGGCGAGUCAGGGGUGAAAGCCCGCGGCCCAACCGCGGAAGUGCCCCUGAUACCGCCGGCCUUGAGGGGGAUAGGGGCGUGCGGAACUUCGGGUGGAGCGGUGAAAUGCGUAGAUAUCCGAAGGAACACCGGUGGCGAAGGCGGCACGCUGGGUCCCUACUGACGCUGAGGCGCGAAAGCCAGGGGAGCGAACGGGAUUAGAUACCCCCGUAGUCC
rnacentral:rRNA from 1 species